rnacentral:rRNA from 1 species
AAUAAGCGGAGGAAAAGAAACCAACCGGGAUUGCCUCAGUAACGGCGAGUGAAGCGGCAACAGCUCAAAUUUGAAAGCCCGCGGGCGUUGUAAUUUGCAGGCGGAUGUUUUGGGGCGGGCGCUGUCUACGUUCCUUGGAACAGGACGCCGCAGAGGGUGAGAGCCCCGUGCGAUGGCGCCUCCAACCGCGUAAAACUCCGCCGACGAGUCGAGUUGUUUGGGAAUGCAGCUCCAAGUGGGUGGUAAAUUCCAUCUAAAGCUAAAUACUGGCGAGAGACCGAUAGCGAACAAGUACAGUGAUGGAAAGAUGAAAAGCACUUUGAAAAGAGAGUGAAACAGCACGUGAAAUUGUUGAAAGGGAAGGGUAUGCGAUUAGCGGCCAGCAGGAGGUGCCUUCUCGUGAAAAGGCCGUGCACCGUCUUCGGACACCGUGCGCGGAGAUGGCGAGGGGGCGCCUGAGGUCUGCGACUCGAG